UAUCAAAUGAGCUUGAUGUGAACAUACCAGUGUCAUGAGGAUACCACUGUACAGUUUCCACACUGUAUUUGUGAACAUCAGGAUGAUAUCUACAAAACAACAAUCAAAAUUUACAGAUAACUGACAUAUGAACUUACUCUCUGACCAAAGAAUGCAACUGGUGGAGGCCCAUGAAAUUCACAUCUACAUAACCCGUCUUCCAUAAAAACACAUGUUGAAGACUCAGUUAUGACGUCAGCUACAAUACACCACCUUGGGAGGGUGGUAUGCUGUCCUGAAGGAUGUAGUAUGCUCUGAAUCAGUGGCCAACACAAUACAAUCAUGUUGCUUUUGGAUUCCUUAUGAUGAAGGUUUGGGACCUUAAAGAGCUGUGGCGCUAUCUGAAGGAAUGAGAACAUGAAGAAGGAAAGUCUUAAGUGCCAACUCCGGCAUUAAAACAGCUGUAAAAAUACAAGAACUAUAGCGCCUACUCAUAUUUCCUUCUUUUCUCUAAAUAUUUAUAUAU